CAUUGAAACAGAAAUAUUUCAGUAAUCGACCAGGACCCACUCCAGGAUAUCUGCUACCCAGACCCAACUGUGCUGCAGAAGUUGUAAAGGAGCAACAGCACACACUUCUGAAUUUAAAAAGGAAACGAGGAGAGGGAGUAGAUCAAGGAUGAGGCUGUUUCAAUACAGGAGUGUGGUAUCUUGCUGGAACGGAGAUGCUUCCAUGAAAAUGCAUUUCCUCAUGAGCUCAGAUGGACAACUAAAUUAUUUAAGUUAGUCUUACUGUUUAAGCACUUUGACCCAUUGUGUUUUAGAUUAUGUCAAAUUACAAAUAAAAUGCAUUAGUUCAUUGGCUUAAUUUUUCUUUGAAAUUAGAAUGUUUAAUCUGUUAAUUAUUUGCGUGCUCUCUGCUGACCCCAGUACCAUGGGUCAGCUGACAUGUGGGAAUUUGUCAAGUACCAUAGGUAAUUAAUUAAAGUCAUUAGUUGAAGCUCUUUAUCUCUUGCAACACCAUGUGUCUGCAAUUAACGUUUUGAGGUCCAUGUCCCUAGAAUAUACAGUUAGCUAAAGAGGAAGAAAUGCUUCUGAGUUUUGCAAUCUUGCAAGAAAAAUCUUGAAAUCUUGCAUCUGUCAGUGAGCAGAGUUUCCAAAGCUGUAUCAGAAUUUGCCUAAACAUCUUUACAAAAGUCUGAUCUUCAGCAAGGAGAAAUCGGACUUCUGCUUCAGACUUUGGACAAGGUUAGCACUUCAGUGUUUGGAUAUAAAUAAGGCAUUCAGGAAUUCAGCAUUACUUUUUGAGAUAUUUUAUUGUCAGCAUGAAAAGUAAUAUCAUUUGCUUCAAGUGCUUGUUGAAGCACAUCAGAAAAUUAUGUUGUGUUGCUGACAGAACCUGAAUGUAUCAAAAGUGUAGAUCUUAAUAGUCCCAACCAGCGUGGAAAGAGAGAGACAGUGUUAGAGCUAACAGAUCUGCUAUCCUGGAUCUCAUCUGAUAUCCUUAUGUGGCACAAUCUUUUGAAGUUAAAGUGAAUAUUGGAAGAACCAGUCUUUUUAUGAAUAGAAUUAGAAGUGCAGCAUCUUUUUAUUGCUGUUGAAGGUAGAAAUGUGCAAAAGUCAUUUUGAAGUAAGUAAUCCCUUGAAAUUCUCAGGCUUGUCUGUGCUUGUUCUUGUACACCGUCUUUCUCAGCCCUGUUGAGAUAGGACUCCAGAAACUGAGUAGCUUAAAUUUGGAAGCGGUCAGUGCCCUGUUGUAAAAUCUUGUCAUCGGAGACUGGCUGCUAAGAGUGUACUUCUGCCAUCCCUGUGAAAUGCUGCUUUUUCACAAGAAAAAAAGAUUGUAGCCUUAGGGAGUGCACACUAAACUUAAAUGUGCUGCAGGUGUACUUUUACAAAAAAAAAAAAAAAUCUCUCUAUUGCCAAGGGAAAACUAGCAGUACAUGAAUGACUGCCUGUAAAAAGUAUUAAACAUACAUAAUUGCUGGCUAUUGCUGCCACUUAUUUCUAAUCAGUAAGGUAAGUGGAGGCACUGAUGUCCACUGAUUGUCCAUCUUUUCCACUCUGGGAAACAAUCAAAUGGAGCACUUCUUUCUUAGGAUGCAAACUUCCAGUCCUGUUAAUUUGCAUUUCUACAGAGCAGUAAGCUUAUAAAAUUGAGAAUACAGAAGAUACAGCAAUCAUCUCUUUCUUAAGAUAGUACAGAUCUGAGAUUAGGCAGGUUUCCUGUGCUAUUCUACACUGGCUUGGGGAAAAAAAAAAA